ACCUCCGUGCACUCCCCCUCCGGACUUUCUGGAUGAGGUCACAUCAGUAACUGAUCCUAAGUCUUCAUCGAGCUUGGGGUGCCGUGUGCUCAUGGGAGCCCUGGGACCCUCUGCGCCGCCCCCCAGCUUGGCUUCCCCCUUUAUUCCUUCACUAUACCCACAGGAUGGUCAAGACUGCAGGGAUCAAAUUCGAUCUGGGUCUCCUUAGCUCCUAGUCCUUGAGUAUCCUGUCAUCUUCAGCAGGGGUGUGGUUAGCUGGCGAAUGCCACCCUGUAAUUUUACUAUGCAGAAUCACCAGCAGGAUGGGUGUUACUGGGUGUCCCUUUAAUGCGUGGACACUGAGUUAGGCUGAACAAGAGUCCUGACCCCUAAGACACUCCAUCUCAGGUGACCGGGCGGAUGAGGAAAGGAGAAUAACAUAAAACACAGCGACUUAACACACAAUCACAAUGGAGGGUAAGAAAAUCAAAGGACCUCCUACUACGGGAAGGAAAACAAAGCAAACAACAACCAUGUCUAUCACUGAUGCUUUCUUUUGAGCUUCCAAUACCGCUGCCUGCUUUCCAGCCACAAGACAUUUUGAGUCCAGCCACACUUUCCUGGACCUCUGUCUCCCACUUAACCUGACCACUCUGCCCAGCUGCUCCACAACACCCAGAUCAGUGGCUGCUAGGUGCCUCCAUCCUGCUGGGCCAACUUCGGCCGGGAAGAAAGGACCCCUGCAGACAUUUCAUAUUCAAAAUUGUUAAUGAGUCGGCUGGAGAGUGAAGGAGAGACUUCUGAUGCUCCACGUAUCAGACCUUCGAAAGGAAAACUGUUUCAUAUCCUAUAAUAAAGAGAAUUUGCACCCUCCCCCACAAAA